UAUCAUAUGUUACUCGUGGGCUUAGCAAUCGUGACGUCACUAUCUGCACAUGCUUCGCACUCUCAGAGCGCGCUGCUUAACUGCUUAGGGCAACGUUCCACCUUGUCAGUGCAUUUGUCAUGUGCUGAUGUUUUUGGUGUUGGGUUUUUUAUUUUUGAUUCUUUUGUUUUGUCUUGUCAGAUAUUUGCCGUGAGCGGACGUCUUAUGUUUAGUGCUGCGCUGCGUCGCAGUUUGCGUAAAUUGACUUCAAAACAACUGAACAUAACUUGCAGGUGCAAAAAAUGUAGAAAUUAUUAAUGAAAAGAACAAAUUCAACCAAAUUUAUGUAAGCACCUUAAAGAAUAAUGGCAUAUAACAUAAAUUUUAAUAUAUGAAUAUCAAUACAUGCAUACUUACACACAUACAUAAAUACAAUACGAAACGAACAUGAACAAUAAAAGGCAACUUUACACAUUCCAAUUUGAUUCUCUGCUUGUGU